UGUGAGGUUACAGCUGCGUGCACCACGAAAGGGCCCUUCUCUAGGGAGGGGCGCCUCUGGGUGCCCUCUGUGCCCCAGAGAGGGAAGGGGGAGGAAAAGCUAGAAGAACAGCAUGGAAAAGAGCAUGGUUCAGAGGGAUGUCUCAAGGGGGAUGAAGAAGUCUGAGAGGGGAAAAGAGAAAGGACGGAAGCAUGGCUGUGUUGAAUGAAAACACUAGGACAGUCCAGGGCUGGCCACCAGCUCAUUUCCUGGGGCCUCAAGCUUGUUGAUCUGUAAAAUGGGCACAACAUCUCUGUGGGCCACCUCACAGAGACAGCUGGGGCCAAAGGCAACAAGACAGGGACCAGCCAGGCGGGGAGGAGACGUCCAUCUCAGCCGUGCCUACCUCCUCAGUCUGGGAGAGGAUUACCUUUCCU